AUUGAACGCUGGCGGCAGGCUUAACACAUGCAAGUCGAGCGAGCCGCGGACGGGUGAGUUAUGUCUGGGAAACUGCCUGAUGGUGGGGGAUAACUACUGGAAACUGUAGCUAAUACCGCAUACCAUCAGAUGUGCCCCGAUGGGUUUAGCUAGUCGGUGGGGUAAUGGCUCGUCUAGGAGACGAUCCCUCGCUGGUGUGAGAGGAUGACCAGGCACACUGGAAUGGAACCGCGGUCCAGACUCCAACGGGAGGCAGCAGUGGGGAAUAGUGCAUAAUGGGAGCAAGCCUGGUGCAGCCAUGCCGAGUGUGGUAAAAAGGCCUUCGGGUUGUAAAGCACUUUCAGCGAGGAGGCGUUACUCGCAGAAGAAGCACCGGCUAACUCCGUGCCAGCAGCCGCGGUAAUUC
rnacentral:rRNA from 1 species